UCUCACAAAUUUCCACGUCAGCACAGUAUUAAAAAAAAAACAUAAAUGAAAAAAAAUAAAUAAAUAAGCAAAGAAAAACCUUUCCUAAAACCCGAUAAAAACCUAAGUAUAAAAAAACAUAAGCACAAAAAUGGCUCUGCCGUUCCUCUCUGUUCUCUUUUUCUCUACCUUCUCCUUCCCCAAAACCCAACACUGAAAAUCAAUCCUGCCUAGAAGCCAUCCCCACACUGUCAGGUCUGAGAUAGAAAGAAGGCAUCACCAACCAUAUGGCUCCAAGGGAUUGGGAAGAUGAAGGAUUCGCUGCCUUCGCAAGUUCUGAAUGAGAAGCUGCCACGGUUUUUGCAGAAGUGCGUGUAGACCUUCAAUUCCGAUCGCCGUUACGAAAACGACUUACGGUACCUCCGCGUUUGGUUACGGGGAUGGGAUAAAGGAGGAGGAUGCUUGCGUCAAGACCAUCAGGUGGAAUACUCUCAUGGAAUUGAGCAAUCGGGAUAACUCUUGCAUCUACUAUUGGCUUGCAAGAAGGAAUGGGAGGGCCUGCAUUUUUUUUUUUUUAUAGUAGUGGUUUAUCCUAAGAGUUUAGUUUGAUUUGCAUUUUGUUUGCACCCCAUUAAGUUGAAAUGUUCCCUCAAACAUUACUAUCUUAGCUUUAAGAUAAAGAUAGACCUAACAUUAUUAGUUACUA